AGUAAUAAUAACAAUAAUAAUAAUAAAUAAACAAACAAACCGGUUUCCUUCGUCUCCAAAAUCAAGUUAGAUUCUUAUAUAUAUAGAUUUCGCUUAUCACGUUAUUUUUGAUAUAGCAUGCAUUCUAGCUGCAUCCUUCUGUAUUUUGGUAAAACGCAAUGUGUUGGUGCAUUGGUUGCGGUCAUAUUCAGUGAAUAUAUAUUUGCAGUAUUUACAACGAAUAUAGGGAACCGCACGUGCGUCAUAAAAAUGGAGGAGGAGGACUCUAAAGUGUUUUUGUUCGAUAACGCUGCCGCGGUCUAUGAUCACGACUUUACUGCGUUUUUAAAUGGGACGCCUAAAAGCAGCAGCUUAUCUUUUACGACAGGAGCUCCCCUUGUCGUAUAUAUUCCCGGAUUGCUAGUGGCGCGUGUAACUAUGUAGACUUUGUCCAAGCACCGACGGAGUUGUCAAGAAACUUUUGGGAACUAUAAAAAUGGCUAAACGUUUUCAGUUUUCCAUCGCUGCGUUUAUUAUUACUUACACUUUUCAGUUUUAUCCAAUUUUUUGCCCUUUAUUCGAGAUCCUGCAGUAGCCGCGGGUUUUGGCCGAACACUGAUUCAAAAAGCAAAUGUCCGCGAGCCAAUCUAAUAUAAUAUAUUAUAGUAUAGUUUAACUAUACGCGCUAGGGAUUGGCAAGGAAAGUAGGUACUUGAAAAAAACUAACUACAGGUUACAUUAAACAUGAGACAAAUUAUAGAUAGACAAAAGAUAAGUUUUUUUAUAUUUAGGUAUAAAGUAUAAAAUACUUUAACAGUAGUUAAAGUUCCUUAAGAUAGGUACAAGAUUAUACAUUUUUUAAAGUUAUUAUUGUAGUAAGUAAAAUUUCUAAAAUAUAAUGUGCUUCAAUAUUAUUUAUUUAACUUAGUGUACAGAGUUAUAAUAUAUACAUUUUAGGUAAUUAUACAUUUAUAAUACUCAAACCUGGAGGGAGACGAGUGACGAUAAUAUAUCUAAGAGCUCCAGAUGAUGAAAACAACUUUAUAAAGUUACCAUCUUCGAUAUACAUUACUAGUCCAGGCAAAUUAGAUAAAUGUAAGCUUUUAAAAAAGCAGGAAAGCUGAAUUUUGGUAUAUACACCUUUAUUGAAGGGUAUACUUAAUAACAUACUAAAAGUCCCCUAAGAUUUGGUGACCGCUACCUCCGUUAGAGCGCGCGUUGUGUAAGAAAAAACCGUUUUUUCAAAUAACUGGGUUAUUUUGAAGAUUAUAAGAAAUAUACCUAUAUACUACCUAUAUUAUAGAAGAGGUAAUAAAAAUGUACGGCAUUGACUGUCAGGCAUUGUGACUAACACAGUUUUUUCUUUGUAUUAUAUUUUUAUGAAUGAAUAAUUUAUUGUUUUAUAAUUAUCAUGAUAUUAAUUUGAAUGAUAAUGUUACAAGUAAAUAAUUUAUAAUUAUAAUCUAAACAUAAAAUAACUAUUAUAUGUAGAGGUAGCUAUAUAAUAAUAAAAAUUAAUAUUGAUUAAUACCGGUAUGUCUUACAAUUAUGGCUACUGCUUGACAAACUAUUAAUUUAAAUAAAACUUAAUUUAUAAUAAAAUAUUAAAAUAUCACUUAAUUUUAUUGAAAUUUGAUUCGUUUAUUAUGAAAUCUAAAUAAAACUUUGAUUCUAACCAUUGUUCUGUAAAUGGUAGAACUAAUGAUUUCAUAGAGUUUCAGGGAAUGGUACUUCAGCUAUUAUAAACGAUGGGCUUUACACACAAAAUGUAAUAUGUGAUAUAGGUAACCUAUUCAUGUUACAUUAUGCAAUAUCAUCAUUACAUAAUAUUUUAUUGUUAAUUUUUUUUUAUUGCUACCUAUUUUGAAAAAUUUACAUUUUAUUUAAUAACAACAGAUAAAACACAGACCUCGGGAGCUUAACUUUUAGAGCCUCAAUUACAAAAUGUCAGGAGGUGCACUGUAGGCACACCAGACGCCCCUCUGCGUACACCUAUAUGGAUGCAUGAUACAAAUAUAUAAUAAUAUCUAUGUGAGAUGCCUAUCACUGUUAUACGCGUACUGCGUAGUUUAAAUGGAGGACGCUAUAAUAUGUACAAUGUGACGAGUGAACGAUUUUAAUCCCUUAGAGACUACCCUAGUCGGGCUUUAUUGUGCAUGGUGUCGCGGACUUAUAAGCUUCCCUUUUCGCAUAAUAUAUAAUAUAGCAUGAAGCGUGAGGCGUCCUGUGCUACUCGCACGUCAAUAUUUGAAGGAAUGGAGGAGUCGUCGAUAAAAAUGUAUAUUUACCUAUACGUAAUAUACGUAUAUGUGUAUAACGUAUAUUUAUAUUAUAUACUUAGUACAGAGCGAGCUGAAAUGCGUUGUUAUAACGGAAUUUAAUACUAUAAAUUAUCUUAUAUUUGUGUAUACGUAACUAGGUACUUCUGGAAAUGAUUUAAAAAUAAGACGAAUUCCGUAUAUAACUUACUUUAUAUUUUAUAGAAUAAUUUUCUGGUAUCUAUGUAUAUAUUUGCAGUUAGCUCAAAUUUAUUUAGAACUUCAUCAAAUUGUAAUUAAAAAAGCGUACAAACGUUGAGAAGUAUACUAUUAUUUUUGUUUUUUUGUCGGUAAAUUUUGUAUCAUCUCCUCUCGAUUUUGUAUAGAACUGGCCCCGUCGUAAUUAUAAUAUCGUUAUAAAUCAGAGAGGAACGUCGACUUUGAAUAAUAAUAGUGUAUAAAUAAGAUUAACGUUUCGACACAGCGGAGGAAUAUCUUCCGUCGUCACGACUGUACAUCAUGAUUCAUGAUAAUAUUAUAAUAUUAAUAAGACGUGAUGCCCGCAUGACGUGUUGUCUCCAAGUUUACAAGCUUAACCUACAAUAUACCAAAUAUUACAGUUUUAAUAUUACCUACAGCAAAUAAAUUGAACUAUUUCCAUCAAAUUUAAUGGUAAGAAUAUUACUUGCAAGUUGCAGUAUUCUCUUUUUGGUUUUUCUACGAUAUUUUAAUUUUAUAGCGAGUGUUAUUAUACAUUAUAAUUUAUAAGUAUGUAAAAUAUUUAAGCUUAAAAAUGCUCAUAAUAAUCGCGUAAAAUUAAAAUAACAAAAAAAAAAACUGACGAGAGAUAAUAUUUUUACCUAUACAUUUUAUGACAAGUAAUUUCUCUAAAAUUGCCGCAUCACAAAACUGUCCCCAUGUAGCUGAACUUAAAUUUGUUCAUAUAUUAUGUUGUGUGUUUGUAAACCGCGGACACAAUUAUUACAUACGCCUUCAUAUUUUAUAUAUUAUGUAUUCUUUUUUAUUAAUUUUGUAAUUGACUAAGGUAAUAUAAUAUAUAUUAUGUUAGGUAUAACAUUUUAUUUUAUUUUUUCACAGUCGGAUGUAAUAAAUAUGAUCAUUAGAACCACAGUUUUGAAUUCAAUUAUAUUUUAAAAAAAUGUUUAGUUUAGUUUUUCUAGUUGUACAUUUUAAAUAAAACUAUAAAAUAAUAGCAGCGCCAGGAUAAUAUUAUACAGGGAGGUUGUGCAAGCGUUCUUUUUUCCGUGCAUCCGAUCUGUCGUCACUCGCGUGCGUAUUUGUAUUUGUUCCUGGUGGAAUGUGUCUCACCGUGGCAGCUGUUUCUAUCACUCUCUCUCUCUCCUCUUGACCACUCUCCCGAACACACCCUUCUGACCAAUUUCCCGCUAUAGCUCAAUAGUUUAUUUUUCAAAGUCGAAACCGCCACCCUCUUCCACAAUUUGUGAUUUGCCGGAGAACCGGGAAACGCACAUCGCGAUGAGGGUCGUGAUGUGCGACGCGAAAGAUGCACUGCGACACCGGAGCUCUGUCGAGUAAAAAAUUAUACUACGCGUCGCGCACUCAAUAGUACGGUUUGGGUUUGUACCGAUAUGGUGGUAGUGCUGCUGCGGCAGUUUUGUGUGUGCAUAUACCUACGACGAACUCGCUAACCAGCUGUUCUUGGUUUUUUGUUUUGGUUUUUGUUUAUGUUUGGAGAGGGACGCAAAAAAAAAACCGUACCCUAGUGUAAUUACGAUAAUGGCGCAUACGUAUAUGAUGUACGCAUAUUGUAUUAAGGAAAAUAGGAAAACGGGCGUCUGGUUUCUUAUAUACACUGCGUUUUACUCACAUCACCACCCGCGCGCGUUACACAUAUUAUUAUAAUAUUAUAAAACAUACAUACAAUAUGCGUGUGCCGCCGGACGUGCGAGUGAUGACGAUCCUUGUUGUCGUGUUAAUUAGUCGAGUGCUCCGCAUGCGUACAAAUAAAUUAUAAUAUAUACAUGCAGGGGGGUGUUUUGUUCGAUGAGUCAGUCCCCCCGAUGAUGACUUUUUGAACGAUACACAGUUAUUAAAAAGUGUUGGUAGUAUGUUAUUUGUUGGUUUAUUUUACCCAAACUAGGAAUAAAAAAAACUUAAACUGUUGUUUUUGUGUUAAUUUUUUAGAGUCGAUUUAUUAGUUGUUAUAUGGCUUACUAGAUUAGGUUACUGUGCACGCCUUUAUAGUUAGCUUUAUGCGUAUUGAAAGCACUUGCUAGUAUACGCAAGUCGAAAUAGAGUCUAGAUUGUUAUGAGAUACGAGAUAUUUGAAUAUUUCUUUUAUUUCCUGUAUGAUGUAUCUUGCGUACUGUAUCAUUCAAAUACAAAAAUAUAUAGUUAUAGUUAUAGUUUUAAAGUUUAGGCAGGAGGGUCAUACGAGGACAAGCGUAUGGACGGUAUACAGUACAGUGACGUAGCAAGGAUUUUACUUUAAGGGGUAUCGAUAAUUUAUUAUAUUAUAUCUGCAGAGACUUAUAACUAGGAUCCGUUCUAGUAAAGAUUUGGUCAUAAAUUUGGUACGAUAUGUUUUUAAUUUUGUCUCUUGUAGUCUGUAGGUACAUAAAUAAUUUUGUGGAGAAGACGCGUGACAUUGACACACUACCGCAACAAUGCAAUAGACUCUAAUAUCAAAUAUUCUAAUACUUUGUAAUAUACAGUUUUUUUAAAAACUAUAGUUUUAAUAACAUUAUAAGAUAACAAUUAAAAAUCUGUUAUUUUAGACUUGCAGCAACUUUCGUAUAUAAAUUACAAUUUUAAUACAUGGUUACGUUUUACGUACCAGAAUACGUCCACAAAAUACUAAAAGCAUUUUAAAAAUUUUCCUGAAAUUUGAUGGUACUGGUAAGGGGUUUAGCUCUACAUCACUGAUAUAAUAUAAACAACUUGUUUGUAUACUGUCGUGUAAUCAUAAUAUGAAUACUUUUAUACUCGUACACGUAUACUGAAACAAAACACACACACUCAAUAAUACAAAGUGUUCGAUGCGGUUCGUGAAAAACUUGUAUCGUGCAUUAUAAUAUUAUAUUAUGAUGUACAUUGUACCUACAUGAAGUCAAUGUCACCCGGAAUGGCAAAAUUUAUUUGAAAAAAACUCGUUUUUUCCUCCUGCAGUAUAUUAUCUUUCAGCGAGUUCAAAUUAAAUUUUUUUCUAUUUCGUAUAUUAUUAUUACACAUAAAAUGUAUAAAUCAGCGAAAUCAUCGUCACUCGGUUUUUCUCCGAGUGCUGACUGAUCAAUUUCGUUCGAAAACUCCCUUCAUAUAAUAUAUAAGUAUAUAUAUAUUUACUUAUAUAUUAUUAUCAUUGUAUUUAGGCGCAGUAGGUGUAUAUAUAUAUAUGUUAUAUAUUAUAAUAAUAUAUCUAUUGAGAAAUGAAUAAACACGAAAACGAGCUCGCCAUUUUACAUUCGAAUCGUCGCUAUUCCAGAAAACCAUAACGGUGCAGCAAUGACCGUAAUGUAAUAAAUUGUUCGCGCGUGACUCAAACGUCAAUUUUACUGCAAUGCCUAAAGUUACACACUUUUAGGCGAGCCUUAAAACAAUAAACAGGGUGAUUCACCAAGGCUGUUAAUCUUCGUUUUUUCCUUUAAUAUUAACUAAUUUAAAUAAUGAUUUCUGGAAAUUAGUAAGUAGGUACCUAACAUUAUACCCAUAACCUUAACAUUUCGAUUUUUAUAAUAAUUUAAGAAGAGUCUUGUGUUGAUAAGUACAAACUUCUUUUUUCCUAAUGAGAGAACUAACCUAACCUAAUAUUAUUUUACUGUAAAUUAUUAAGCCGAUUAAUUUUUUAUGAAAAUAUAAAUGUACUUAGGUAUCUAAAUCAAAUUUCAAACGUGAGUAAUUCCUUAUUCUAAUCACAGUUUCUAAUUUCUAUAUUAAGAUAAUAAUAUUCCUUAAAAAUGGAUUUACAAAAAUAUAAAAUUGACAUUAUGUUGGAUCUAGUAUUUUUUAUACAUCGCGGAAGUAUUGCGAAAGCAUUUCCCGCGGCGCCGUCGGUUCAAA